CAAAGUUUGAUAAAGUAAAGGCAAAGCAACGAGAAAUGUAACGAUUUAUUCAUAGAUAAUCAUUCUUCAGCCAAAAAAUAUAUUUCCUCUAUCUGAAUGGUUGCUAAGCAACGUCGAGACACAGCUACUGUAACUUUUGUAUCAAGUUAUGGUAGUGCAGUAAUAUAGAACAGAAUAAGGUCAAGGUGUAUGUUUGUGCUGGAUUUUACAACGGCAUCGAACGUGAUUCAG